AGACAUGAUGGCAAGGGGAAGAGAGACUUUAACGAUGCUCCCUCGUGGUGUUCAUGAGCCUAAUAAAUAGGCUGCAAGUGCAAAAAGCUGAAUGAAAAAUGGAAAGGUUACUGCUGAAAUAUUUACAGAUGGAAGGAUGUGAUGUCUAGAAUUUGUUUCAAACAAGACGAGGUCUUACUACCAUAGCCCAGGCUGGGCUCAACUGAUCCUGCUGCCUCAGCCUCCCAAAGUGCUGGGAUUACAGAUGUGAGCCACCAUGCCCGCCAUCAAGCAUUUACUUAUUGAAACACAUAUCAUUUUAUAAUGCAUUAUUUUCUUAUUUAUCCUUUAUACUUAUAGCAUUAUAUUGAUUUUUAAAGUGUGUGCACUCACCUAUGCAGCACUCAGAAGGUUCUCUAAAAUGAUGGUUGACAUCUUUCUUCAGCUCUGGUGUUUUCCUAUGUAACUUUUUCUAAGUGUAGUAUGUACUCAACAGCUAAAAUAGGAUGUAUGAUAUGGACAUGCCUGCAUGGGCAUACAAAGACACACAUACACAUAUAUAAAAUAAAGAAAAAACUAAAAUAUCA